CUCCUUCCUAGCGGUGUCCUGUGUGGUGAGUGAGUGGAGUGCAUGGUCUGGCUGUGCUGAGCCCUGCAGGGCCACAGUUCGGAUGAGGAGCAGGCAAGUCCUGCAGGAGGGGGAAUCCUGUCCACACGUAGAGGAGCAUGCCGGCUGUGCAGAGUACUGGGACCACCACCGGCAGUGCAGUAAAUCACUGGUACCGGCUCUCAUCACUACCGGUGACUAUGGCAACGCCAGGAAGUAGAGAGACAUUCCUGUUAACAAUGAUGAUGAUGUCACAGGGCACUGUGUGCAGUUCCAGCUGACCUCCCUGACCCCUUGGUGCCAGCGUAGUGUGGGGCCACACACCUGCUGGAUGCAGUACCUGAAGGAGGGCCACCAGGUGUGUGUGGAGUGCCAGCCUCCUGCCCUCGCUGCCGGGCAGAGACACUGCACUGGAGACGGUGAGGAGGAGAGAUUUGAUCUCUGUCUCCCUCCCCCCUCUCUCAGUGGCAGGCAGUGGGGAACCCCAGGUGUCGUGUUGUGUGGAGACGUGUUGGGAGACGAGACUCCUGCUCCUGUCCCACCGUUCACAGCUUCCUCUUCAUAUAACCCUGGACAGCUUCCUCUUCAUAUAACCCUGGACAGCUUCCUCUUCAUAUAACCCUGGACUCUUCCUCUUCAUAUAACCCCGGACAGCUUCCUCUUCAUAUAACCCCGGACAGCUUCCUCUUCAUAUAACCCUGGACAGCUUCCUCUUCAUAUAACCCUGGACAUCUUCCUCUUCAUAUAACCCUGGACAGCUUCCUCUUCAUAUAACCCUGGAUAGCUUCCUCUUCAUAUAACCCUGGACAGCUUCCUCUUCAGAUAAUCCUAGACAUCUUCCUCUUCAUAGAAUCCAGGACAACCUCCUCUUCAGAUA